rnacentral:miRNA from 14 species
AGGUUUUCGCCGUGAUCUGCAGA